rfam:Tncultured methanogenic archaeon RC-I complete genome
CGGGAUACGUUCCCGCCGGGAUGUGGCCUAUCCAUAUUCAUCAUGACAGGAUAGGUUGAACCAGGAA